UGCAAUAUGAUUGUAGAAAGAAAUCACCUAGAAAGAAAUCACAGCCAAUUCAUUUUUCAGCCUCUAAACACUUGGACAGAGGAGCCAUAUAUGAAUAUGUUCAAAAGAGUUAAGGCCAUCUCCUGUGGGUAUCAGAGAGGCAUAAUUAGAAUGCAUUGAAUUCUCUCCAACUGGUUUGCUGAAGCUCUUAUGUGAGCUUUUUCUUUUCCUUCCUUUAAAAAAAAAUAAUAAAUAAAUAAAAAUCCGGGCAUGACAACAGGAGUAGCAGUUUCCAGUCUGUUGAAGUUGUUUGCUUCCGUGACCGUACCAUGCAGGGGGCGAGAGACGUUGCCCACAGCAUCAUCUUCGAAGUGAAGCUUCCAGAAAUGGCAUUUAGCCCAGAUUGUCCUAAAGCAGUUGGAUGGGAAAAGAACCAGAAAGGAGGCAUGGGACCAAGGAUGGUGAACCUCAGUGAAUGUAUGGACCCUAAAAGGUUAGCUGAGUCAUCAGUGGAUCUAAAUCUCAAACUGAUGUGUUGGAGAUUGGUUCCUACUUUAGACUUGGAC
rnacentral:lncRNA from 1 species